CCAAUAGCGUAUAUUAAAGUUGUUGCAGUUAAAAAGCUCGUAGUUGAAUUUCGGGAUCAAUAUGUCGGUCGUGCCUUCGGUACGUACUGGCAUCAUUGAUUUCUCCCUUCUGACGAACCACGAUGUCAUUAAUUUGGUGUCAUGGGGAAUCAGGACUGUUACUUUGAAAAAAUUAGAGUGUUUAAAGCAGGCUCACGCUUGAAUACAUUAGCAUGGAAUAAUGAAAUAGGACGUUUGACCCUAUUUUGUUGGUUUCUAGGAUCAACGUAAUGAUUAAUAGGGAUAGUUGGGGGCAUUAGUAUUCAAUUGUCAGAGGUGAAAUUCUUGGAUUUAUUGAAGACUAACUACUGCGAAAGCAUUUGCCAAGGAUGUUUUCAUUAAUCAAGAACGAAAGUUAGGGGAUCGAAGACGAUCAGAUACCGUCGUAGUCUUAACCAUAAACUAUGCCGACUAGGGAUCGGAUGAUGUUAAUUUUUUAAUGACUCAUUCGGCGCCUUGCG
rnacentral:rRNA from 1 species